UUCUAUUGUGGCAGAAUUUUAUGCAGUGAAUUUAAAAUUCAUUUAUAAAUAAAAAUAUUUCUUUAGAAAUU
rnacentral:tRNA from 1 species